UGAGUGGGUUGGACGGUCGCCGGAUUGCAAGACAUCCGGAGGAAAGUCCGAGCAGGGCAGGGCGCGGCGGUGGCUAACGGCCACCCGGGGCAACCCGCGGGAAAGUGCCACAGAGAAUAGUCCGCCGAUGGCCUUUCGGGGCACAGGUAAGGGUGAAACGGUGCGGUAAGAGCGCACCGCGUUGCUGGCGACAGUGACGGCACGGUAAACCCCGCCGCCUGCAAGACCAAAUAUGCUGUGUGUUUGGCCCGGAUAUCCACAGCGGGUAGGUUGCUUGCUGACGGAGAGAUCUGUCGGCAGAGCCGGCUGGCAACAGCUGGUCGAGUGUAAUGACCGUCAUCCCUAACCGGAUACAGAACUCGGCUUACAGACCCACUCAUUUU
rnacentral:RNase_P_RNA from 1 species